rnacentral:tRNA from 1 species
UGGAGAGGUGGCAGAGCGGUUGAUCGCGACAGUCUCGAAAACUGUUUUACCCGAAAGGGUAACGAGGGUUCGAAUCCCUCCCUCUCCGU